CGAACCGUCCAAACGUUAUUCGGAAUUACUGGGCUUAAAGGGUACGUAGGCGGCGCUGUUAGUCGGGUGUGAAAUCCCACGGCUCAACCGUGGAAUUGCGCCCGAUACUGCAGUGCUUGAGGGAGACAGAGGUAAGCGGAACUGAUGGUGGAGCGGUGAAAUGCGUUGAUAUCAUCAGGAACACCGGUGGCGAAAGCGGCUUACUGGGUCUCUUCUGACGCUGAGGUACGAAAGCUAGGGUAGCGAAGGGGAUUAGAUACCCCCGUAGUCCUAGCCGUAAACGUUGAGCACUUGAUCGAGGAACCCCCCAUAGUUUCUCGGUCGUAGCGAAAGUGUUAAGUGCUCCGCCUGGGGAGUAUGGUCGCAAGGCUG
rnacentral:rRNA from 1 species